rnacentral:lncRNA from 1 species
GCAGCAGGCCAAGGCAUCCGCGUGUCCAGGUUCUGCCACGUGCCGCCUGCUAACCUCGAAGAAGAUGGCCUACCCGUGGACCUUCACCUUCCUCUGUGGUUUGCUGGCAGCCAACCUGGUAGGAGCCACCUUAACCCCUCCUGUGGUUCUCAGUCUCAGCACAGAAGUCAUCAAGCAAAUGUUGGCACAGAAACUGAAGAAUCGCGACGUUACCAACACCCUGCAGCAGCUGCCACUGCUCACUGCCAUGGAGGAGGAGUCGUCCGGGGGCAUUUCCGGCAGCCUGGUGAAAUCCAUCCUGCAGCAUAUCCUCUGGCUGAAAGUCACCUCAGCCAGCAUCCAUCAGCUGCAGGUGCAGCCCCUGGCCGACAGCAGGCAGCUGAUGGUCAAGGCCCCCUUGGACAUGGUGGCUGGAUUCAACACGCCCCUUUUCAAGACCAUUGUGGAGCUGCACAUGGAGGUGGAGGUCCAAGCCAUCAUCCACGUGGAGACAAGCGAGAAGGACCACGCCCGCCUGGUCCUCAGCGAUUGCUCCAACACCGGCGGGAGCCUGCGCAUCACCCUGCUGCACAAGCUCUCCUUCCUGCUCCAAUGCUUAGCUGACAAGGUCAUAAGCCUUCUGAUGCCAGCGCUCCCCAAACUGGUGAAAAGCGAGCUGUGUCCUGUGCUCAAGGCGGGCUUUGAGGAUAUGCGUGGGGAACUCUUGAACCUGACGAAGGUGCCCAUGCCUCUCAACUCUGAGCACCUGAAGCUUGAUUUUAUUUCUCCUGUCAUCGACCACGGUGUUGUCCAUCUCAUCCUGGGGGCCAGGUUGUUCAACUCGGAAGGAAAGGUGACUAAGCUGUUCAAUGAUGUUGGGGAUUCCCUGAAUCUGCCCACCCUGAACCAGACCCCCUUGAGGCUCACCGUGAGGAAGGAUGUGCUGGUCGCUAUCAUAGCUGCCUUGCUCCAUUCGGGAAAACUCACAGUCCUAUUGGACUCUGUGCUUCCUGAGGUAGCCCGCCAGCUGAAGUCAAGCAUCAAGGUGAUCGACGAAACGGCAGCAGAGCAGCUGGGGCCUACACAGAUCGUGAAGAUCCUGAGUCAGACGACCCCGAUGCUCAUUCUGGACCAGGGCAAUGCCAAGGUGUUCCAACUGAUCGUGCUGGAAAUAUUCGCCACCGAUAAAGACAGCCGCCCCCUCUUCACCCUGGGCAUUGAAGCCUCCUCGGACGUUCAGUUUCACGUCGAAGAUUGCCUACUUGUGCUCAGCUUUAAUGAAAUCAGAGCUGAUCGGAUCCAUCUGAUGAACUCAGACAUCGGCCUGUUCAACCCUAAACUUCUGAACAACAUCACCACGGAGAUCCUCACCUCCAUCCUGCUGCCAAACGAGAAUGGUGCGUCCCUUUGCUGUCUGUUCCCUGCUCCCCAGGACAUUGAGGGCAGGCGCUUUAGCCUCUCCUGCCUGUGCCUCCAUGUGGGGCCCCUUUCAUUUAUUUUCCAGCUAUCCUCAGAGCAUUGUUCUAAUUCUGCCUCCUCCAGGAAGCCUUCUGGGUCAUCCAGCUGGAAAUGA